rnacentral:ncRNA from 1 species
CAGUGGGUGCAACUCCCACCCGGCUAACUCAGUCGCUCCAGCCGGUAGCUAUCGAAGCGGUGGUGGAGGUAACGAAGCCGCCGGAGCCUUCGAGACAACGGGUCGUACAAGCGACUCGGCGAGUUCGCAGGCCGUAAUGUGA